rnacentral:tRNA from 1 species
GGUAAGAUGGCCGAGCGCCUAGGCGGUAGGCUGUAGUUCUAUUAACAGGGGUUUGACUCCCUUUCUUAUCA